rnacentral:rRNA from 1 species
UGCCCUUAAAACCUCCAAAUUCGAGCGAACUGGAUUAGGAAGCUUUGCUUCCUAUGACGUUAGCGGCGGGACGGGUGAGGUAACACGUGGGCAACCUCCCUGUUAGACUGGGAUAACUCCGGGAAACCGGAGCUAAUACCGGAUAGGAUCUUAUCCUUCAUGGUAGAUGAUUGAAAGAUGGUUUCGGCUAUCACUUACAGAUGGGCCCGCGGUGCAUUAGCUAGUUGGUGAGGUAACGGCUCACCAAGGCAACGAUGCAUAGCCGACCUGAGAGGGUGAUCGGCCACACUGGGACUGAGACACGGCCCAGACUCUUACGGGAGGCACCAGUAGGGAAUUUUCCGCCAUGGACGAAAGUUUGACGGAGAAACCCCGCGGGAGUGAUAAAGGGUUUCGGGUUGUAAAACUCUGUUGUAGGGAAGAACAAGUACGAGAGUAACUGCUGGUACCUUGACGGUACCUAACCAGAAAGCCACGGCUAACUACGUGCCAGCAGCCGCGGUAAUACGUAGGUGGCAAGCGUUAUCCGGAAUUAUUGGGCGUAAAGCGCGCGCAGGCGGUUUCUUAAGUAUGGUUGAAAGCCCCCGGCUCAACCGGGAGGGUCAUGGAAACUCGGUAACCCGUCGAGCCCGCAAGAAGUCC